GUCACCUGCAUUAUUUCCAAGUUUAUUUAGUGAAGCUUCUAGUGUAUGGAGAGAAUUUUCUUGUUGUUAUUUACUUUUGCUUCCUUCUUAUGUUCAGUAAUGUUUUUUAGGAGCUUAUGAAGUAAAAAAAAAAAAAAAAGAGGUUACCUGCAAGUCUCAGCAGCUCUUCUAUGGAACCAGCUUCAUGGUGUUUGAUUGGGAUGUUGGAUCUGCAAUAUGGAUACUGUGAAUGAAGUUCAAAUGAGUUUUAAAUAUUUGUGUCCCUGUCUUUGAUCACUGGCAUUUCCUUCUUCUGUCUUUGGACCACCACCAAGCCACUCCUGGAGAAGUGCAUC